AGUGAACGCUGGCGGUAGGCCUAACACAUGCGAGUCGAACGGCAGCACAGUAAGAGCUUGCCCUUACGGGUGGCGAGUGGCGGACGGGUGAGGAAUACAUCGGAAUCUACUUUUUCGUGGGGGAUAACGUAGGGAAACUUACGCUAAUACCGCAUACGACCUACGGGUGAAAGCAGGGGAUCUUCGGACCUUGCGCGAUUGAAUGAGCCGAUGUCGGAUUAGCUAGUUGGCGGGGUAAAGGCCCACCAAGGCGACGAUCCGUAGCUGGUCUGAGAGGAUGAUCAGCCACACUGGAACUGAGACACGGUCCAGACUCCUACGGGAGGCAGCAGUGGGGAAUAUUGGACAAUGGGCGCAAGCCUGAUCCAGCCAUACCGCGUGGGUGAAGAAGGCCUUCGGGUUGUAAAGCCCUUUUGUUGGGAAAGAAAAGCAGCAGGUUAAUACCCCGCUGUUCUGACGGUACCCAAAGAAUAAGCACCGGCUAACUUCGUG
rnacentral:rRNA from 1 species